rnacentral:rRNA from 1 species
GACGAACGCUGGCGGCGUGCUUAACACAUGCAAGUCGAACGGAAAGGCCCUGCUUUUGUGGGGUGCUCGAGUGGCGAACGGGUGAGUAACACGUGAGUAACCUGCCCUUGACUUUGGGAUAACUUCAGGAAACUGGGGCUAAUACCGGAUAGGAGCUCCUGCUGCAUGGUGGGGGUUGGAAAGUUUCGGCGGUUGGGGAUGGACUCGCGGCUUAUCAGCUUGUUGGUGGGGUAGUGGCUUACCAAGGCUUUGACGGGUAGCCGGCCUGAGAGGGUGACCGGCCACAUUGGGACUGAGAUACGGCCCAGACUCCUACGGGAGGCAACGGUGGGGAAGAGUGCACAAUGGGCGGAAGCCUGAUGCAGCAACGCCGCGUGCGGGAUGACGGCCUUCGGGUUGUAAACCGCAUUCGCCUGUGACGAAGCGUGAGUGACGGUAAUGGGUAAAGAAGCACCGGCUAACUACGUG